UACGGAGGGGGCUAGCGUUGCUCGGAUUGACUGGGCGUAAAGGGCGCGUAGGCGGUUCGUACAGUCAGACGUGAAAUUCCUGGGCUCAACCUGGGGGCUGCGUUUGAUACGUGCGGGCUUGAGUGCGGAAGAGGGUCGUGGAAUUCCCAGUGUAGAGGUGAAAUUCGUAGAUAUUGGGAAGAACACCGGUGGCGAAGGCGGCGACCUGGUCCGAUACUGACGCUGAGGCGCGAAAGCGUGGGGAGCAAACAGG
rnacentral:rRNA from 1 species